rnacentral:misc_RNA from 1 species
GCUUAUUUCACCUCUAUACAAAGUUGUAAACUUGACCAUCUUCUUCUCUCUUCUCUUACUACCUUACCUAUUUUUGAUUUCCAAAUAUUUGUUGAAUCCUUAUCAGCACUAGAUUUUCUUUUGAAAAUUCUCCAAGAAUCCAAGCUUUUCAAUACCCAGUUUUUAUUUUCCUCUCUUUUCCUCCUUCUGAUUAGAUAAAAGGAAAAUCUCACUCACAAACUUUAAUUGUAUAAUCCUAUUCAUAUGUUUCAUGCCCAUUUGAAUUCUUUCCCCUCAAUUUUCUGGUUUUAUCACCACAUUUGCUAGUUGUAGUUUUGAUUCUGAACUGCUUUUUAAUCCUUUUUCUUUCUUAGGAUCAGGAAAGUUCCUGCACUACCCAAGAUAAUGGUGGUGAAGAUGAUGAGGUG